rnacentral:rRNA from 1 species
UACAGAGGUCUCGAGCGUUGUUCGGAUUCAUUGGGCGUAAAGGGUGCGUAGGCGGCGAGGUAAGUCGGAUGUGAAAUUCCGGGGCUCAACCCCGGAACUGCAUUCGAUACUGCCUUGCUCGAGUACUGGAGAGGAGACUGGAAUUUACGGUGUAGCAGUGAAAUGCGUAGAUAUCGUAAGGAAGACCAGUGGCGAAGGCGAGUCUCUGGACAGUUACUGACGCUGAGGCACGAAGGCCAGGGGAGCAAACGGG